UUCAAAACACAUACAUGUUUAAGAGAUAAGAAAGGACUGAUUUCAGUUCUAAAACACUGAGCUAUCUGGUGGGUGUGGACAAAGCCGCUGAAACUAUCCUUAGGCAUUCCAGAGCUUGGGGCCGAAACCAGCUCUGAGGUUGAGCCAUUGAUAGAUGUUUAUAAACAUCUUGGCCAAGAGGACACAUCAGCCCAAGGAGUACUAGAGGCACAAAUAUGCCAGCUACCUUUGGACAUUUGGCAGGGGGAUACGAUGGCCAAUAUUAUGGAUAUCUUUGGAGUGAAGUAUUUUCCAUGGAUAUGUUUUACAGCUGUUUUAAAAAAGAAGGGAUAAUGAAUCCAGAGGUUGGAAUGAAAUACAGAAACCUAAUCCUGAAACCUGGGGGAUCUCUGGACGGCAUGGACAUGCUCCACAAUUUCUUGAAACGUGAGCCAAACCAAAAAGCGUUCCUAAUGAGUAGAGGCCUGCAUGCUCCGUGAACUGGGGAUCUUUGGUAGCCGUCCAUGUCUGGAGGACAAGUCGACAUCACCAUGUGUUACUGGCCUGGAAACUGAAGGGAGUUUUGCAAGUGAAAAUUUAGAUUUCUAUUGACAUCCUUUUGUUUUCUAAUUUUAAAAAUUAUAAAGAUGUAAAUGGAAUUAUAAAUACUGUGACCUAAGAAAAGACCCACUAGAAAGUAAUUGUACUAUAAAAUUUCAUAAAACUGGAUUUGAUUUCUUUUUAUGAAAGUUUCAUAUGAAUGUAACUUGAUUUUUUACUAUUAUAAUCUAGAUAAUAUGAUAUAAGAGGGCUAAGAAUUUUUAAAUUGAAUCAUAUAUAUGAUAUAAUUUGAUCCUUCUUGUAUCUUGAAGUUUUGUACUUGGGAUUUCUGGACUGAUAAAUGAAUCAU
rnacentral:lncRNA from 1 species